GACAGAGGAUGCAAGCGUUGUUCGGAAUUACUGGGCGUAAAGCGCACGUAGGCGGAUAUUUAAGUCAGGGGUGAAAUCCCGGGGCUCAACCCCGGAACUGCCUUUGAUACUGGGUAUCUGGAGGUCGAGAGAGGCGAGUGGAAUUCCGAGUGUAGAGGUGAAAUUCGUAGAUAUUCGGAGGAACACCAGUGGCGAAGGCGGCUCACUGGCUCGACACUGACGCUGAGGUGCGAAAGCGUGGGGAGCAAACAGG
rnacentral:rRNA from 1 species